AUUUUUUAGGCUUAUCAUUUCGGGGUCCUUUUAUUAUUCAUCUGUCAGUUUUUUAGCUGUUUGUGCCAUUGCUAUCAAUUGCUAUUUUAACCACUCUGUAUUGCCUGCUUUUGUUUUUCUAGACUAUGUUAGGCUUGAUUUUGUUAUAACUAAUUAGUUUAUGGAUUUUGUUCAUUCAAUUUAACUGCCAUCUUUAUUUGAUGAAUACUGCAUUUUUCAUGACAGUUCUUUGGUUAUUUAGCAACAUUCCAUUCGUAAUCUUUUUGCCUUCCAUUUAAGUUGUAGUCGCAUGCUU
rnacentral:lncRNA from 1 species